AUAGUUGUAAUUAUGAUCAGUGGUGGGAUUUUUGGUCUUGAUCCAUAAUUAUUAUUGCACCAUAGACUAAAUAUACCCAUCUAAAUGUUGGCUUUGAGGGGAAAGUUUAUAACAUAUGAUCAGAUGCCAGCGACUGUACAUUUGAGCACCUCAACGUCCACCAAUCUGUCCUUGAUUUCACACCAUAAGUGGCUGAGUGCCUCAGCUUAGGGUCAUAGCACUGCUCAAAAUUUGAGGAUGAUGGUCUCUUGGAUCAGCAGCCUAAUAGUUGUAAUUAUGAUCAGUGGUGGGAUUUUUGGUCUUGAUCCAUAAUUAUUAUUGCACCAUAGACUAAAUAUACCCAUCUAAAUGUUGGCUUUGAGGGGAAAGUUUAUAACAUAUGAUCAGAUGCCAGCGACUGUACAUUUGAGCACCUCAACGUCCACCAAUCUGUCCUUGAUUUCACACCAUAAGUGGCUGAGUGCCUCAGCUUAGGGUCAUAGCACUGCUCAAAAUUGAAUGCUUUUACCAUAAUAGAGGCUUUGCUAUCAGAAGCCCUUAUCCACCGGAAAUUUGUAGUCUCUCUCUCAGUCUUGUACUAGUAUUAGCAGUGGAUCUCAAUAGUGGUUUUAGUAGAUUGUUUGUCUUGAAAUAUGCUAGUAAUAAUAAAUAAUUAUGGCACCCUAAUAAAUGAGAAGAAAGUCCAGCAGCUCGUAUUCAAAGAUAACAAAGAAAGUCAGCAAGCAAUAAAAAGAUUUUCAACUGAAAUCUGCUAUUAUUAGUGAUGUGUUAUUGCAAUUAGUCACCAACUCUUAAUUUUUGUCAGUUCCAACCUGCAUAAUAAAGUUGGUACUGCAGCAUACAUGAAGCCUGGAGAAAUCCUGCAGUAUAAUUUGUGAGGAUGUUGCUAAUUAUUACCAGUAUAGAUUUGGGGGCUAAAUAGCUAAGUGGCUUACGUUUCAAUUAGUAUUGUUUAUGUAGCUAAGUUUGGGUUAUCUCAGGACUCUUCUUCCAUAUAAUACCGUACCAGUAGAAAGAGCAGUUUAAGGGUGUGUUUGGUACGAUAUUUUUUAAUUUUUUCAUGUUUGGUUGGCUUAAAUAUUUUGAAAAAUAUUUUUUUUAUGAACUUAUAUUCCUUCAAUUGGAGGAAAAUAUUUCCCUUAUUAAGAGAAAGGAAAAUAUUUUUCAAAACUCUUUCUCAACCUUUUCCACCCUCACCAACCCACCCCAUCUCAGUCGCGUAGGGCGACCGGGCCAGGCCGAGUCAGAAAGGCUUUGAUGACUCAAGGUUCGCUAUAUGACCUUGAGGAGCCUGUCGGGCUGAAGUGAAGAACGGUCGAGGCAGAAAAGUACCCCUCUUGCCGCUCGGCAUGAAUGAAGUUG
rnacentral:lncRNA from 1 species